rnacentral:rRNA from 1 species
GACGAACGCUGGCGGCGUGCCUAAUACAUGCAAGUCGAACGAAGCUUUUUUAACUGGUGCUUGCACCGACUUAAACAACUGAGUGGCGAGCGGGUGAGUAACACGUGGGUAACCUGCCCCAAAGCGGGGGAUAACAUUUGGAAACAGAUGCUAAUACCGCAUAACCACAGAAACCACAUGGUUUCUGUGUCAAAGGUGGUUUCGGCUAUCACUUUGGGAUGGACCCGCGGCGUAUUAGCUAGUUGGUAAGGUAAUGGCUUACCAAGGCAAUGAUACGUAGCCGAACUGAGAGGUUGAUCGGCCACAUUGGGACUGAGACACGGCCCAAACCCCUACGGGAGGCAGCAGUAGGGAAUCUUCCACAAUGGACGAAAGUCUGAUGGAGCAACGCCGCGUGAGUGAAGAAGGUUUUCGGAUCGUAAAACUCUGUUGUCAGAGAAGAACGUGUGCGAGAGUAACUGUUCGUGCAGUGACGGUAUCUGGCCAGAAAGCCACGGCUAACUACGUGCCAGCCGCCGCCGUAA